rnacentral:sRNA from 1 species
GGUGGCGGUAGCGUCGUUGGCGGCAGCGGGAGUGGGUGCGGCGGCAGCGGCGGCGGCGCCCGCGGGUGGUAUAAAAUGGCGGAUUUCGAAGAGUUGAGGAGUGGCUGUACCAUUUUACAUCCCUACCAGCAAUGUAUGGAGUGAUCCAGUUUCUCUGCAUCCUCGUCAGCAUUUGGUGUUAUCAGUGUUUUUCAUUUUAGCCAUUCUGCCCAUAGAGCCAGUUGCAUUAACAUCCUUUGCCAAAUAAUGUUAUCACUGGAAAUAUGAGAUAUGAGACCUCCUAGAAAUUCCUUUGAGAGUCAAGCUUAGAAUAUGGUUUCUAGUUUUAGGGU